UACGUAGGGGGCAAGCGUUGUCCGGAUUUAUUGGGCGUAAAGAGCGUGUAGGCGGCCAUGUAGGUCCGUUGUGAAAACUCGAGGCUCAACCUCGAGACGCCGAUGGAAACCAUGUGGCUAGAGUCCGGGAAGAGGAGAGUGGAAUUCCUGGUGUAGCGGUGAAAUGCGCAGAUAUCAGGAAGAACACCCGUGGCUAAGGCGGCUCUCUAGUACGGUACUGACGCUGAGACGCGAAAGCGUGGGGAGCGAACAGG
rnacentral:rRNA from 1 species